AUGGAGGAACACCGCAUUCAUACAUCAAUACAAAUGAUGGGUCUCCUGCUAUUUGCUCUCCCACAUUACUCUGACACCUUAAAUCUAAACCUGGUUAACUUCACUGAGUUCUCUGGCCCUGAGGGAAGCUUCUCUGCAGAUUUCUAUCAGUUUAGCAACAAAACGCCUGUGCCCCCCUGUUCCACUGGAACGUGAUAGACGUGGGUGAACGUGAUGAGUCCCAGAACACUCCAGUGGGGAACUGCCUAGUGUUGAACACACUGACAGGGGAAACGGUCAACUUCUCCCCCUGCAGAGACAUCAUGACUGAGAAGGUUUUCAAAGUCCUGAAGUACAGUAAGAGAUCUUAGUCAUCCCAUUAGUACCUGUACAGUACAGUAACAGGUUCCUCUGUUGUCCACUCAAAAGGAGGAUUAUUGUCCCUGCUAUGCCACAGAACUACUAGGGUAUUCCUUCUUAAAACAGCAGUUGACUUCAUGUUCACAAGUUUGCCUGCUGUUUUUUCCCCACUCUGUGUGCUUUUUUGAUCCUAAUAUUGAUUCUCAGAUAACGACAGACGAUACUGUGAAGUGGGAUUUAUCUCCGACAUACCAAAGGUGCCCGCACUCCAAACAUUUCUCAUCAAACUUGAUCCUUUUGAUUCAUAUAAGGUUGUAUAUUACACAGUAAUGUAGCAGAUUAGAUCAGUAAUGGUUAGAUCCACAUGGUUUAUGCUACUGUCAGGUAGUAAUUACGCCAACAGUGUUAUGAUACCAUCUAUAACAAUUAUUUGAUUUGUCUCUUGAUGUACUAUUCUAGGAGGGAAGGCUCCUUAUUGGUGCCCCCGGAGGCUACUACUUUCAAGGUAACAUGUCCCAUCUGGUGUUUCAGAGUGUGUAAACAAAAUGAUUAGCCUGGUUAAACUAGAUUGCCUACCACACAGAUGUAAAACUGCUAGGGCAUAAAAUUGCUGGGGCAUAACAUUUGCUGCUGGGUCAUUGGAGCUGGAUGCCACACUUGCUGAGGCUGCUGGGAAAUGGGGGUCGGUUGCUUCUGCUGCUGGAGCAUUGACCAAAAAUGGGGUGGACAAACACUAAAAUACAAGAAAUAUAAAAUGUCACCAUAAAUGGUUCUUAGGCUGGUGGCUUCCAUAAUUAUGGUGGCUUCCAUUAUUGCUUUCAUCAACACUCCUAGGAUAAACGUGUACAUUAACAGCCCUGUUGUUAGGAUGUCUCUGGGAAGGUUGAUGAUGACUGAGCAUGAUGAAUUAUCAAAUUACUAGUCCUGGUAAACAAUGUCAAACAUUGUUCAUGUGGGAGGCAACCUGUCUGCUUUAGUUUACUAGUAUUACCGUGGAAUAUUAUGGAAUACAUAUGUAUAAAUAUGUAUAAACAUUACUAAAGUGUCUUCUCAAAAUGCUGUUUGUGGUGCUUAAACUUUCUGUUGCAGGUCAGAUCAUCAGUGCAGGACUGCCUGACAUUGUCAACAGUGCCAAGAGCCCGAAUGCCAAACCUUAUGUGGCUGGACAAACCCAUUCCCCUGAGACUGAUGGAUGCGAUCGUUACCAUGGUAAGAGAGUCCACGCAAGACUUGUGGUCUAAAGCAAUGGUUUUCAUGCCUCUUCUCAGAGACGCCCAGAUGUUUCACAAUUUUGUUGUAGCCCUGAGCUAGCAAACCAAAUUCACCUAAUCAAGGGUUUGAUGAUUGAGCUAGUAAACCAAAUUCACCUAAUCAAGGGUUUGAUGAUUGAGCUAGUAAACCAAAUUCACCUAAUCAAGGGUUUGAUGAUUAGUUGACAAGUUGAAUCAGGUGUGCUACCCCGAGAAGAGGUUUGAGAACCACUGGCCUAAAAUAUUCGGUCCAAUGAUAUUCAGAGACAUUAUCAUUAGU
ensembl:lncRNA